AUUGAACGCUGGCGGCAGGCCUAACACAUGCAAGUCGAACGGUAACAGGAAGCAGCUUGCUGCUUUGCUGACGAGUGGCGGACGGGUGAGUAAUGUCUGGGAAACUGCCUGAUGGAGGGGGAUAACUACUGGAAACGGUAGCUAAUACCGCAUAACGUCGCAAGACCAAAGAGGGGGACCUUCGGGCCUCUUGCCAUCGGAUGUGCCCAGAUGGGAUUAGCUAGUAGGUGGGGUAACGGCUCACCUAGGCGACGAUCCCUAGCUGGUCUGAGAGGAUGACCAGCCACACUGGAACUGAGACACGGUCCAGACUCCUACGGGAGGCAGCAGUGGGGAAUAUUGCACAAUGGGCGCAAGCCUGAUGCAGCCAUGCCGCGUGUAUGAAGAAGGCCUUCGGGUUGUAAAGUACUUUCAGCGGGGAGGAAGGGAGUAAAGUUAAUACCUUUGCUCAUUGACGUUACCCGCAGAAGGAGCACCGGCUAACUCCGU
rnacentral:rRNA from 1 species